rnacentral:rRNA from 1 species
CUACGGGUCGCAGCAGUGAGGAAUAUUGCACAAUGGGGGGAACCCUGAUGCAGCAACGCCGCGUGGAGGAUGACACUUUUCGGAGCGUAAACUCCUUUUAUAUAGGAAGAAGAUGACGGUACUAUAUGAAUAAGCGCCGGCUAACUCCGUGCCAGCAGCCGCGGUAAUACGGAGGGCGCAAGCGUUACUCGGAAUCACUGGCGUAAAGAGCGUGUAGGCGGAUUAAAAAGUCAGAAGUGAAAUCCUAUAGCUUAACUAUAGAACUGCUUCUGAAACUCUUAAUCUAGAAUAUGGGAGAGGUAGAUGGAAUUUCUGGUGUAGGGGUAAAAUCCGUAGAGAUCAGAAGGAAUACCGAUUGCGAAGGCGAUCUACUAGAACAUUAUUGACGCUGAGACGCGAAAGCGUGGGGAGCAAACAGGAUUAGAUACCCGGGUAGUC